rnacentral:rRNA from 1 species
AUUGAACGCUGGCGGCAUGCUUUACACAUGCAAGUCGGACGGCAGCACAGAGAAGCUUGCUUCUUGGGUGGCGAGUGGCGAACGGGUGAGUAACAUAUCGGAACGUACCGAGCAGUGGGGGAUAACUAAUCGAAAGAUUAGCUAAUACCGCAUAUAUUCUGAGGAAGAAAGCAGGGGACCAUUUGGCCUUGCGCUGUUUGAGCGGCCGAUAUCUGAUUAGCUAGUUGGUGGGGUAAAGGCCUACCAAGGCGACGAUCAGUAGCGGGUCUGAGAGGAUGAUCCGCCACACUGGGACUGAGACACGGCCCAGACUCCUACGGGAGGCAGCAGUGGGGAAUUUUGGACAAUGGGCGCAAGCCUGAUCCAGCCAUGCCGCGUGUCUGAAGAAGGCCUUCGGGUUGUAAAGGACUUUUGUCAGGGAAGAAAAGGGCGGGGUUAAUACCCCUGUCUGAUGACG